UGUAAAUAUUUAUAGUUAUUAAUGUAAACUACAUCAUUUUGGGCGAUUCUCUAGCUUUGUUUAAAACAACAAAAUGAAUCUGGAUGCUUAUGAAUAUGGCCCUUCUGCUGGGCCCCACAAUGACCAGCUAACUAAACUGCAUGGGCCUUAUCGCCUGCCUGAUUUGUGUACACACUUUCUAUACAACUGGUUAUGCCUCACAAUCGAUAAGACAGGAACCCAUAAUUACCAUGGAUACUUCCUGUUAUUACACUCAAGAUACUAAACACGAGUUAAACCUGCCAUAUGAGCUCUAUCUUAUAAAGAGGAUACACCAGAAAGAGGCAGAGAAGACAAGGGGAAGUUUAUUUAAGGAAAAAACAUGCAAAAAAAAAAAAAAAA